rnacentral:rRNA from 1 species
GAACUUAAGCAUAUCAAUAAGCGGAGGAAAAGAAACUAACAAGGAUUCCCCUAGUAACUGCGAGUGAAGCGGGAAAAGCUCAAAUUUAAAAUCUGGUGGUCCCGAGUUGGCUGCCCGAGUUGUAAUCUAGAGAAGUGCUUUCCGCGCUGGACCGUGUACAAGUCUCUUGGAACGGAGCGUCGUAGAGGGUGACAAUCCCGUCUUUGACACGGACUGCCAGGGCUUAUGUGAUGCGCUCUCGAAGAGUCGAGUUGUUUGGGAAUGCAGCUCAAAAUGGGUGGUAAAUUCCAUCUAAAGCUAAAUAUGGGCGAGAGACCGAUAGCGAACAAGUACCGUGAGGGAAAGAUGAAAAGAACUUUGAAAAGAGAGUUAAACAGUACGUGAAAUUGUUGAAAGGGAAACGAUUCAAGUCAGUCGCGUUGGCCGGUAAUCAACCCUUGCGAAGGCGGGGGCUUACUUUCCGUCUGACGGGUCAGCAUCAAUUUUGACCGUCAGAUAAAGGUUUGGGGAACGUGGCAUCUUCGGAUGUGUUAUAGCCCCUUGUCAGAUGUGACGGUUGGGAUUGAGGAACUUGGCACGCCCGCAAAGGGUCGGGGCUUUUUGCCCACGUAACGUGCUUUGGAUGCUGGCAUAAUGGCUCGAACCGACCCGUCUUGAAACACGGACCAAGGAGUCUAACAUGCCUGCGAGUGUUUGGGUGGCAAACUCGAGCGCGAAGUGAAAGUGAAACUUGUCGAGAUCUCUGUCGUGGGGAGCACCGACGCCCGGACCUGACCUUUUGUGAAGGAUCCGCGGUUGAGCAUGCAUGUUGGGACCCGAAA